AACCUGGGAACUGCAUUCGAAACUGGCAGGCUUGAGUCUUGUAGAGGGGGGUAGAAUUCCAGGUGUAGCGGUGAAAUGCGUAGAGAUCUGGAGGAAUACCGGUGGCGAAGGCGGCCCCCUGGACAAAGACUGACGCUCAGGUGCGAAAGCGUGGGGAGCAAACAGGAUUAGAUACCCUGGUAGUCCACGCCGUAAACGAUGUCUACUUGGAGGUUGUGCCCUUGAGGCGUGGCUUCCGGAGCUAACGCGUUAAGUAGACCGCCUGGGGAGUACGGCCGCAAGGUUAAAACUCAAAUGAAUUGACGGGGGCCCGCACAAGCGGUGGAGCAUGUGGUUUAAUUCGAUGCAACGCGAAGAACCUUACCUGGUCUUGACAUCCACAGAAGAAUCCAGAGAUGGAUUUGUGCCUUCGGGAACUGUGAGACAGGUGCUGCAUGGCUGU
rnacentral:rRNA from 1 species